rnacentral:lncRNA from 1 species
AUAAAAGUAUCCACAGUGAGGCUGCUCACCAGUCGGGCUCGGCUGUACUCCAGGACUCAGUAGAUCCUGGGUACAAGCCCAGCCCGACUGUAAACUGACACAAUGCAGACUGCUCCUGACUUCCACAGGAGUCAGAGCCAGAGAGAAUCAGCAAAGGCAGAGAUUGUCUGAUUACCAGCAGAGGAGGGCUUCCAGUGAUAUUUUCCACUUACAAACCAGAAGCUGGAAGCAACUAAAUGACCCUCAACUGAAAAAUGGAAAGAGAAAAUUUGGCACAUUGACACAAUGGAGUACUACUCAGCAGAAAAAAUGGAAUCUUGAAAUUUGCAGGAAAAUGGAUGGAACUACAAGAAACCUUUCUAAGCAAGGUUUUGUUGGGAGGAAGAAAAGAAUCGACAGCUCUGAUGCAGAUCUCCAUGGAAACCACAGGAUUGCCUCCAGUGCUGGAAAUGAGACCACUCUCCUCACUGUUUCCUAUUCAAUGCUCCAUUUAAAUGCACACAGUCCUUUGAUCAGGGGUAAGGAAUGCUUAUAAAAGCAACAGCCUUGUGGCUUCUAAGCUGUUAGGAUCUGGCCAUACUAAAGGACUCAGCUGAUUCUAGGUAUGGCCAGAGCCACCUGUACACUGACCAGGACUUGCACUAGGAGAGUCUGUCUCCAUUCUGUACCCUGGAAGAUCCACUGUGGGGACUGCUACUCCAUUGUCAGUUUUCCUAGCAACCCUAGAGUCUGUGAAAAUAUGAAGCAGUAACAUUUGCAGAUGCUACCCUACCUGUCACUGAAACCCUGAGUGUAACUUAAAUUGUAGUAUAGAGAAUUUUCUUGUUAUCUUCUUGUUGCCAUUUAUGGUCACAGGUUCAAUUUUCCAAUCUUUGUUUACAUUUCCUGUGUAUUUUGGUUUUGUUUGUUGAGACUCCCUG